ACCCCGACACCCUGGAGGGCGCUAUGAAACUGGCCGAGGACUACGAGGACUCCCUAGUUUCUGCCCGGACCGGGAUACUGUCGGCUCCUGCCCUUCGGAACAACCGACCCUCAUCUCUCUCUCCUCCAACACCACCACCACCAUCAAUCCCGGGACCCAGACCUCCGACCCCAAUGGGCCACCUUGCCUCCCCUCCAUGGAGACCAAGGUUGGCCCCCAGCUGGGGUAGAGGUGCUGCCCCUGCCCCGUUGCCAUACCAGCAGCGGGAUAGACACUUAACCACUGUUUCCUCUGUCCCCCCGAUUUGUUUUAGAUGCAACCAACAGGGACAUCUGGCCAGGUCAUGCCCCGCUGCCAUGGAGUGUGACGUGGCCGUAUGUAAUUGGACACCUGAGAUAGAAAAACAAAUAAGGAGAGACGGACCGCAAAAUGGGAGGGAGCAUCCCUGAGACAAGGCUGGGGUCUGGUGGAAGAGUGCUUGAAUAGUGUCAUCGUGCGGGAGAGACCUUACCGGAUCCCAGAAAGUUGACGAAGUGGCGUUCGCAAAGAGGUAUGGGACCGGCGCCUCCUUAAGACUCACCUCUUCAAACAGCACCUGUAGAACUCCUCUGUUUGUAUCCUGGGACACUAUCACCCUUCAUGUAAAUGUGCUUUAUUUUGCUCUUAUCUGCCCCCUAUUUUACUGCAUUUAAUCCUGUCCUUCAGAAUACUGUAAU